rnacentral:rRNA from 1 species
GACGAACGCUGGCGGCGUGCUUAAAAACAUGCAAGUCGAACGGACUUCUCAUGAAGCUUGCGAUUGAGAAGUUAGUGGCGGACGGGUGAGUAACGCGUGGGCAACCUGCCCCUGAGCCCGGGAUAACAGUUCGAAAGGACUGCUAAGACCGGAUAUACUUGCGGUGAAGCAUUUCACUGCAAGGAAAGGGAACGCUCAGGGAUGGGCCCGCGUCCCAUUAGCUAGUUGGUGAGGUAACGGCCCACCAAGGCGACGAUGGGUAGCCGGCCUGAGAGGGUGAACGGCCACAACUGGGACUGAGACACGGCCCAGACUCCUACGGGAGGCAGCAGUUGGGAAUCUUCGGCAAAUGGGCGCAAGCCUGACCGAGCAAACGCCGCGUGAGUGAUGAAGGUUUUCGGAUUGUAAAAGCUCUGUCUUUCCGGGACGAUAAAUGACGGUACCGGAGGAGGAAGCCACGGCUAACUACGUG